GAUGAACGCUGGCGGCGUGCCUAAUACAUGCAAGUCGAGCGAACAGAUGAGGAGCUUGCUCCUCUGACGUUAGCGGCGGACGGGUGAGUAACACGUGGAUAACCUACCUAUAAGACUGGGAUAACGUCGGGAAACCGGAGCUAAUACCGGAUAAUAUAUUGAACCGCAUGGUUCAAUAGUGAAAGACGGUUUUGCUGUCACUUAUAGAUGGAUCCGCGCCGCAUUAGCUAGUUGGUAAGGUAACGGCUUACCAAGGCAACGAUGCGUAGCCGACCUGAGAGGGUGAUCGGCCACACUGGAACUGAGACACGGUCCAGACUCCUACGGGAGGCAGCAGUAGGGAAUCUUCCGCAAUGGGCGAAAGCCUGACGGAGCAACGCCGCGCGAGUGAUGAAGGUCUUCGGAUCGUAAAACUCCGUUAUUAGGGAAGAACAAAUGUGUAAGUAACUAUGCACGUCUUGACGGUACCUAAUCAGAAAGCCACGGCUAACUACGUG
rnacentral:rRNA from 1 species